GUAGUGGGAUGACAGGCUGAAAGCGGCGAUUCCGCCGUUUUUAGCCAGUCUUUCUAUCAUGUUUCGCGCACAACUUUUUAACAAUACUUUUUUUUAACAACCCAAAACCAUUCUAUUAACAAAUAAACAACCAAAAACAAACAAACAAAAAACUCGUGACGGUGGAUGUCUAGGCUCCAGCAACGAUGAAGAACGCAGCAAAAUGCGAUACGUAGUGCGAAUUGCAGAAUCCGUGAAUCAUCGAAUCUUUGAACGCAAGUUGCGCUCGCGGGCAAUCCUGCGAGCAUGUCUGUUUGAGUGUCCGCACAAAUGAGACUUUUGCUUCUUUCCAAUACGAGGAAGGAGCUGCUGAUGGGUGUUCUGUCUAUUUGUGCUAACGCGCGGUGGUGCAGAAGUUUCCGUGCAACCCGAAAGGGGGAAGCGGUCACCUGAAGAAUAGCUUUGUAUGGGGUGUUGUUUUUGUCGAUUGCAGAGCGGUUGUGGAAGGUGCAACUGCAGGAUCUGACUAGAACGAUGCUUUCCCCACAGGAGUAGAAUACACGACUGUGAAAAGAGGGGAAUGGCAGAGUAUGGUUGAUUCCGGGCAAAAUGUCCUCUGUGUCGUAUCAGAAAGACUUCACUGUUACAUAAACAUUAUAACAUUUUGGAUCUCAAAUCAGACAAGACGACCCGCUGAAUUAA
rnacentral:rRNA from 1 species